rnacentral:rRNA from 1 species
ACUAACAAGGAUUCCCCUAGUAACUGCGAGUGAACCGGGAAAAGCUCAAAUUUUGAAUCUGGCGGUCCUCGCGGCCGUCCGAGUUGUAAUCUAGAGAAGCGUCUUCCGCGCUGGACCGUGUAUAAGUUUCCUGGAAAGGAACGUCGUAGAGGGUGACAAUCCCGUCUUUGACACGGACUNCCAGGGCUUUGUGAUGCGCUCUCGACGAGUCGAGUUGUUUGGGAAUGCAGCUCAAAUAGGGUGGUAAAUUCCAUCUAAAGCUAAAUACAGGCGAGAGACCGAUAGCGAACAAGUACCGUGAGGGAAAGAUGAAAAGAACUUUGGAAAGAGAGUUAAACAGUACGUGAAAUUGCUGAAAGGGAAACGCUUGAUGUCAGUCGCGUCGACCGGGGAUCAGUCUCGCUUAAUCGCUGGACGUACUUCCUGGCUUGACGGGUCAGCAUCGGUUUUGAUCGUCGGAAAAUGGCUCGAGGAACGUGGCACCUCUCGGGGUGUGUUAUAGACUCGGGUCGAAUACGACGUUUGGGACCGAGGGACUCAGCACGACCUUCGGGUUCGGGGCUUCGGCUCACGUUAACGUGCUUAGGAUGCUGGCAUAAUGGCCUUAAGCGACCCG